UACUUGUUGGGAUAGUGGAAGUAGAACAUGAAACAACAAAAAAUACUUCCAUNNNNNNNNNNUAUGCUGAUCUACAGUACUAUAUCUCACCCUCCAUUCUAGACCCAGCAGAGGAGGUAUCAGGUGAACACGUUGACAAGAAGGAGGAGGCAGCAGAGAUGACUUUAGAAGACUGCUGCAGCCCAUCCAUCUUUAGGUGGUGGGAUUCCCCUCCUGGUGGGGUUAUAGUGAUGGAGAGGCCUGAAGAUGAGGGGUCACCUGGUGGGGUUCUAGUAAUGGAGAAGCCUGAAGAAGAGGAGUCACCUGGUGGAGUUAUAGUGAUGGAGAAGCCUGAUGAUGAGGAGUCACCUGGUGGGGUUAUAGUGAUGGAGAGGCCUGAAGAUGAGGAGUCACCUGGUGGGGUUAAAGUGAUGGAGAGGCCUGAAGAUGAGGGGUCACCAGGUGCAACAGGUGGUGAAGGGGAUGGAAGAGACACCACACCUGUUCACAGCACUGGUACUCCUGAUGGCAUGUCAGCACUAGGAGUUAUGCUACAGGGCUUCAUGUUAAAUCAACAGCAGUCAAUGCAACAGCAACAGCAGUCAAUGCAACAGGCAAUGCAAUCCAUGCAGCAGCAGAUCAGCCAGCUACAGGAGGAGGUGCAGAAAGGAAAGACAAAGCAACAGUGUGUUGUGACCCCUUUACCAGCAGCAAACCCAGACACUUUGACAAGACCAGCUCCUCAGUCUCGAGACCCAGCAGAGGAGGUAUCAGGUGAACACGUUGACAAGAAGGAGGAGGCAGCAGAGAUGGUAAGACACAAUUACAUAAGAAGAAAAGGUCCUAAGAAAGUAUCACAUUAUGAUGUCAUCUAAAGUUAAAACUGAUAUUUAAAAACCCUGAUGAAUUUCCAUCCAGGGGCCUCUACAUGUUUGUGAAAUUCAUAGUAAUUGAGAGAUCACAGGGUUAUACUUUGUAUUUUUUAAAUGUAACUAGGCAAGUCAGAACAAAUUGUUAUUUUCAAUGACGGCCUAGGAACAGUGGGUUAACUGCCUGUUCAGGGGCAGAACAGUCUUAACAGUCAGUAAUAAACCAUGUAUAAACAGAGAGAACAGGGUAAUACUGUGUAUUAACAGUCAAUAAUAAACCAUGUAUAAACAGACAGAACAGGGUAAUACUGUGUA
rnacentral:lncRNA from 13 species